rnacentral:rRNA from 1 species
GUAGGUGGCAAGCGUUGUCCGGAAUUAUUGGGCGUAAAGCGCGCGCAGGCGGUUCUUUAAGUCUGAUGUGAAAGCCCACGGCUCAACCGUGGAGGGUCAUUGGAAACUGGAGAACUUGAGUACAGAAGAGGAAAGCGGAAUUCCACGUGCAGCGGUGAAAUGCGUAGAGAUGUGGAGGAACACCAGUGGCGAAGGCGGCUUUCUGGUCUGUAACUGACGCUGAGGCGCGAAAGCGUGGGGAGCAAACAGGAUUAGAUACCCUGGUAGUCCACGCCGUAAACGAUGAGUGCUAAGUGUUAGGGGGUUUCCGCCCCCCUUAGUGCUGCAGCUAACGCAUUAAGCACUCCGCCUGGGAGUACGGCCGCAAGGCUG